GACAGAGGGUGCAACGUUGUUCGGAAUUACUGGGCGUAAAGCGCGUGUAGGCUGCUUCGCAAGUCGGAUGUGAAAGCCCUGGGCUCAACCCAGGAAGUGCAUUCGAAACUGCAGAGCUGGAGUCCUGGAGAGGAAGGCGGAAUUCUCGGUGUAGAGGUGAAAUUCGUAGAUAUCAAGCGGAACACCGGUGGCGAAGGCGGCCUUCUGGACAGUGACUGACGCUGAGACGCGAAAGCGUGGGGAGCAAACAGG
rnacentral:rRNA from 1 species